UGCGUUAGCCAAAAAAUCGUUUUCUUUAAAGAGUUGGGAUAUGUACCCUUGGGCAAUGAUUCUUUGUAAAAGAUUAUCCAUGGCAACGAUGUUAUUUGCCUCAUUAUUUCCUCCCUACGAUACACCUCUGUUAUAUGGGUUUUCUAUUUUUUAUUUUUUCGAAAAUCUUCCUCUCCCAAAAUCUCCCAAAAAACCCUACUUUCAGCAAUUUCCCUCUCUUCAUCGGCUUUAGCUAUCAAUUCUUAAAAUUAUCUUACUGAAAAUGAAAUUUACUGCUACAUAAGUAUCUCUCCCUAAAAUAGUACCACAGUUUUACGGAGAAAUCGAGUGAAGAACAGCUCUUAGAUCUCUAGAUCUGCAUCGCCGUCUUAAGCAAGGAGAUCAAGGUGAGAGUUCUUUGAGUAAUAAACGGUUAUAUGAUUUUGAAGGUAAUUGCAUUAUAUAGAUCAAUCAUCUAGUAACUGCACUGAGUGUUUAAUUUGGUGGCCGUAAUAGUUCAAUCAUCCAUCAAGAUUCACCAUGUUUGGAAACCUUUUCAAUUUCAACUUUUGGCAAUUGACAAGUGAAGCAAAUGAACAAGGGGUAGAUGAAACGUGUGAAGAUGAUCUUAAGAGUAUUAGUUGAUAGUUGCAAGGCCUUUAGAUGUUCUAGAAAUCUUUCUUAGAAAUUUUAGCAAAUUUAUGUAUAUUAACUCUUGAAUUUAGAAAUCCACUUCCAACCAAGAGUUUGUGAGUUCGAGUCACCCCAAGAAGAAUGUGGGGAGUUCUUGAAGAGAGGGAGCCGAGGGUCUAUCGGAAAUAGCCUCUCUACCCCAGGAUAGGGGUAAGGUCUGCGUACACACUACCCUCCCCAGACCCCACUAGUGGAAUUAUACUGGGUUGUUGUUGUUGUUGUAACUCUUGAAUUUGUCAAAUAAUAUUAUCUUUUUUGCUUUAUAUAUUA